GCAACCGUAGCUUAAAAGGAAAGCAUAGCACUGAAGAUGUUAAGAUAGAUUUUCGUAAAAUCUCGGAAGCA
rnacentral:tRNA from 1 species